CAUGUAGGCGGACUAACAAGUCAGGCGUGAAAGCCUAUGGCUCAACCAUAGAAUUGCGCUUGAAACUGUUAGUCUAGAGUGUGGGAGAGGCAGAUGGAAUUUCCGGUGUAGGGGUAAAAUCCGUAGAGAUCGGAAGGAAUACCUAUUGCGAAGGCGAUCUGCUGGAACAUCACUGACGCUCAGAUGCGAAAGCGUGGGGAGCAACA
rnacentral:rRNA from 1 species